UACGAAGGGGGCUAGCGUUGUUCGGAAUUACUGGGCGUAAAGCGCACGUAGGCGGAUAUUUAAGUCAGGGGUGAAAUCCCAGAGCUCAACUCUGGAACUGCCUUUGAUACUGGGUAUCUCGAGUAUGGAAGAGGUGAGUGGAAUUCCGAGUGGAGCGGUGAAAUGCGUAGAUAUUGGAAAGACCACCGAUGGCGAAGGCGGCUCACUGGCCCGGAACUGACGCUGAGGUGCGAAAGCGUGGGGAGCAAACAGG
rnacentral:rRNA from 1 species